CAAACUAGCCCCCACAUCUUGAAGUAAUCAGCAGCAGAGAAGGGACUCGUCCCCCUGGCAUCUCAGCAAGUGGAUGGGAAAGAACCUUGACAACACAAAACUCAUUUACUAAUGGACUGGUUUUGAGUUUCUCCUCCCUGGGUCCGCAAAUCUCCUUCCUGAUCCCUUGGCCUAGUCAGUCUUCGCAGUCAACGGCGUCCUGCACUGGGCAGGUGGGCGGCAGUUUUCGUGUGUUGCUCAGAAUCUGAACCUAGCUCCCCAAGGACGCCGGGCACCAGCGGCUUCCGUCCAAGGAGAGGAAGAAGAUGAACAUUGUUGCCUCGGCUCGGCUCGGAUCUGAGUCUCCGCAUUGCUGCAUAGAGAUGGCAUUAGUUUAUUGAGGAUGCCCUUGACUUCCAAAUCCGUAGGUAGGGGUAGGAGUCCUUUUUGAUGAUAAAGGAACUCCAAGAAACCCGGCUGGGAGCCUCAAGUCAUCUUGCUUCAAGUCAGAAGGAAAACAAGUAGGACCCAGAUACAGGAUUUUGAUUCAAGGCCUAUGUCGACCCAGCAGCUCUAUAUGUUGUCGCCUUGGCCUUUCGGAGCACCGCCUGUGUGCCUGGCCAUUACCAGCACUGUGGAGGCACCCUGAGCCUCUCCUCCAGAGGCACCCUACUAAGCCCGGAAGCUGCCAGGGCAGCAGCAAACAGACUAGAGUGGUUGGGUUUCCUUUAAAUUCCCGACGCAUCUCUGCUUUUUCAUGCGAUUUGCAUUGACAGCAAAGGUUUUAUAUUACAGAACAACUCCAACCUUUCUGUGCGCGAUUUAAAAUGGAUCAUUUGGUUUAUGUGGUUUGUAAAUUCAUGUCAUUUUACCUCUUUUAGUGGUUUUCAGUGAAAGGUUCCAUUUGGGGAAACCUUAUAUAUCCAAGCCAAUAAUUAUCAUUUAUAACAAUUGGUUCUCUUAACCGAGGGAUCCAAAUAGCAGGUAGGCUCCUUGGUACAAAGCGCACAGCACUUUUCCUUUUUAGUUAAGUGAUCUAUUGGAUUAAAUGGGAGGGAGUGAAAGGCUGGCGUGUCCAGCGCCCACCCCCACCUCCACCCCGCUCCCUCCUCUGCCUCUGAGAAAAAGUACCUCUCAUAACCUCGGUGCCGGUUAUCACAGAACUUAUGCCACUCCUCUUGCCAGUUGUCACCAGUGUCUGGUACAGUCCUGAUUCCUUUUGAAGAGAGAUUAAAUAAAAAAAAAAAAAAAAAAAAAGGGCCUGGGGGAUCUGGAGGAUGCCAGGGAAAUGGUAGUCAUAUACUACCAUUCAUUCCUGCUAUCCUCUGCAAAUGUAUACCUGUAGUUAUCUGUGACUUAUACCUCUCUUCCCUACAAAGACUGUUAAUUACAAAGUAUACUCUGCACUCAACGUACCGUUUGUCCUUUAAGUGACUGUGUUUAUAGCCCUCCUCCCAUUUUAAUUGUGCACACUUGUUCCAGACAUUAGGGUACUGAUUUUGAGAGCCCAUAUAAGUCCCCAUUCUGGUCCUCACACAGCUGCCAUGUCAAUAAGGACUGUUCCAAGCAGAGACAUUCCUCUUGGCAGGACACUGCCGUUCCUUAAGACUUCAUCUGAAACGUCAUGAGCACUAAAAUAAGACAGUGAGGGAAAAUUACCAGGCACAUAGCCUAGGGCUCAGCAGUGCCAGGCUUCUAGUUUAGAAAGUAAGCCAUUGGGCAUACCAUGUGGCAGGAGCUCUUUUGAAAUAAUACAC
ensembl:lncRNA